ACGCUGGCGGCGUGCCUAACACAUGCAAGUCAACUUGACUGAAGGAGCAAUCUGACAGUAGAGUGGCGCAAGGGUGCGUAACGCGUAAGUAACUUGCCCCAAGGUAAGGAAUAACGUCGAGAAAUCGGCGCUAAUACCUCAUAAUGCAGCGGAUCCGCAUGGAUAUGUUGUUAAAGGUUUACCGCCUUGGGAUAGGCUUGCGUCUGAUUAGCUAGUUGGUGUGGUAACGGCACACCAAGGCUACGAUCAGUAACUGGUCUGAGAGGAUGAUCAGUCACACUGGAACUGAGACACGGUCCAGACUCCUACGGGAGGCAGCAGUGAGGAACAUUGGGCAAUGCUCGAAAGAGUGACCCAGCAACGCCGCGUGGAGGAUGAAGGUAUUCUAUAUCGUAAACUCCUGUGAGAGCAGACGAAAGACAGAUUAUUAAUCUGGAUGACUGUAUGCUCAGAGGAAGCCCCGGCUAACUACGUG
rnacentral:rRNA from 1 species